AUGCCUACAAACCCCAGCAAAGCUUCUACAGCCCACCCUACUGUCUCAACAAACACUUCAGUCAGUGAACCAGAUGAAGACUCAUCUGGAAGAACACCUCAAAUUCUGUGGGCGGUCCUAGUCCUGGGUUGUGUGGUUGCUGGGCUCCUGGUAAUAAAGAAAGGAGUCCAAACAAAAAUAUACUACCAAGCAACACAUCCAAACAUCGAGAUUACAGGUAAAUAACGUGUUUAUUUUUAUUUAAC